rnacentral:rRNA from 1 species
UUGAAAGGGAAACGAUUGAAGUCAGUCGUACCGGCGGGUAAUCAGCCUUUUGGGUGUGAUUAUGUGGAGCGUGAGGAGCUAAUCGCCUUCAUCUUUGCNUAUUCGUGCACUUUGGGUGUACUUGCUCGUGUGGUAGGUUAACAUCAAUUUUGAUCAUCAUAAAAUGAUUGAAGGAAUGUAGCUUCGAUCUCGUAUUGAAGUGUUAUAGCCUUUGGUAGAUGUGAUGAUCGGGAUUGAGGAUUGCAACGGAUACCCUUCGGGGCUACCCGUCUGAUCUCUGAAAGUUGCUCUGGUGCUGAAAGCUUGCUUAUGGUAUCAAAGUUGACGUUCAAUAGGUUAGAACGGGAUAAAUUCGUUAAGGAUGUUGACGUA